rnacentral:rRNA from 1 species
AACGAACGCUGGCGGCGUGUUUAAGACAUGCAAGUCGCACGGAGGCAUUUAUGUAGCAAUACACGGAUGUCUGAGUGGCGCACGGGUGAGUAACACGUGAAUGACAUGCCCUUGAGAGGGGGAUAGCCCAGGGAAACUUGGAUUAAUACCCCAUGGUCUCGCGAGAGUAAAGGCGGCCGCAAGGCUGUCGCUUGAGGAUUGGUUCGCGUUCUAUCAGCUUGUUGGCGGGGUAACGGCCCACCAAGGCUACGACGGAUACCUGGUCUGAGAGGACGAUCAGGCACACUGGAACUGAGACACGGUCCAGACACCUACGGGAGGCAG